AUGCUCUGCACCAGAACCAGCCCGCUGAACUGGGGCCAGCAGCCUCUCGAGACCUCUCCGCGGCUCCCACGGGCCACGUCGAUGACGUCACGUCCGCUCCCAGGAGUCGCUUCCCACGGGCUUGACGAACAGCAUGGAUUCCUAAACCCACAGGGCAGAGGUUGCUCCGGGGGCCGCGGCGGGGCGCUAUUCGGAGUCAGCUGGGACAAGUGGUCUAGGCGGGGCGGAGGGGAAUGGCGCGAGUCCCAAUCAGCAGCCAGGCCUCACUGGCAGUGGCACUCCCAACCACCUUUUCGGACUGCUACUGCAGUGGCCGCAGCCUUAAAAAAAAGGCCCAGCUGCUCUGAGACGUCGCUUCCGGUGUUUCCUGCUCUGGGGAAAGGAGGCGGCGCGCCUGCGAGUGGACGGCGAGACCUGCACUGGAGAACGAAUGCGCAUGAGAGGUGUAGAUGUCCCUCAGCUGACUGUCAUCAGUAUAUGUGAUGUGAGCUCACUGAUCAGUGACCUUUGUGACCAGCCUGGUAGGAUAGAGCUUAUACAUGGAAGCCCCAAAAUUACAGAACACCUGUGUGCAAAAGACUGGACAGCGCUGACUGACCCACUUAUAUGGCUGCGACACAGACUCCUUUUUCCCUGGCAUCCUAGAAGGUAGGUGGAUACUUUCUAGCACUCUUUGCCUUGCAUAGGGCUCAGUCAUUUACCCAUGAGAAUUUACCAUUUCUGGAAAAGCAUCACAGUAUGACAUGUUAUCAUUAAAGGAAUCCUGUUCUUUAAAACAGAAAUUAUCUUCAUAGGAAUGUUCCCUA
rnacentral:lncRNA from 1 species